rnacentral:rRNA from 1 species
GGUUAAGCGACUAAGCGUACACGGUGGAUGCCCUGGCAGUCAGAGGCGAUGAAGGACGUGCUAAUCUGCGAUAAGCGUCGGUAAGGUGAUAUGAACCGUUAUAACCGGCGAUUUCCGAAUGGGGAAACCCAGUGUGUUUCGACACACUAUCAUUAACUGAAUCCAUAGGUUAAUGAGGCGAACCGGGGGAACUGAAACAUCUAAGUACCCCGAGGAAAAGAAAUCAACCGAGAUUCCCCCAGUAGCGGCGAGCGAACGGGGAGCAGCCCAGAGCCUGAAUCAGUGUGUGUGUUAGUGGAAGCGUCUGGAAAGGCGCGCGAUACAGGGUGACAGCCCCGUACACAAAAAUGCACAUGCUGUGAGCUCGAUGAGUAGGGCGGGACACGUGGUAUCCUGUCUGAAUAUGGGGGGACCAUCCUCCAAGGCUAAAUACUCCUGACUGACCGAUAGUGAACCAGUACCGUGAGGGAAAGGCGAAAAGAACCCCGGCGAGGGGAGUGAAAAAGAACCUGAAACCGUGUACGUACAAGCAGUGGGAGCACGCUUAGGCGUGUGACUGCGUACCUUUUGUAUAAUGGGUCAGCGACUUAUAUUCUGUAGCAAGGUUAACCGAAUAGGGGAGCCGAAGGGAAACCGAGUCUUAACUGGGCGUUAAGUUGCAGGGUAUAGACCCGAAACCCGGUGAUCUAGCCAUGGGCAGGUUGAAGGUUGGGUAACACUAACUGGAGGACCGAACCGACUAAUGUUGAAAAAUUAGCGGAUGACUUGUGGCUGGGGGUGAAAGGCCAAUCAAACCGGGAGAUAGCUGGUUCUCCCCGAAAGCUAUUUAGGUAGCGCCUCGUGAAUUCAUCUCCGGGGGUAGAGCACUGUUUCGGCAAGGGGGUCAUCCCGACUUACCAACCCGAUGCAAACUGCGAAUACCGGAGAAUGUUAUCACGGGAGACACACGGCGGGUGCUAACGUCCGUCGUGAAGAGGGAAACAACCCAGACCGCCAGCUAAGGUCCCAAAGUCAUGGUUAAGUGGGAAACGAUGUGGGAAGGCCCAGACAGCCAGGAUGUUGGCUUAGAAGCAGCCAUCAUUUAAAGAAAGCGUAAUAGCUCACUGGUCGAGUCGGCCUGCGCGGAAGAUGUAACGGGGCUAAACCAUGCACCGAAGCUGCGGCAGCGACGCUUAUGCGUUGUUGGGUAGGGGAGCGUUCUGUAAGCCUGUGAAGGUGUGCUGUGAGGCAUGCUGGAGGUAUCAGAAGUGCGAAUGCUGACAUAAGUAACGAUAAAGCGGGUGAAAAGCCCGCUCGCCGGAAGACCAAGGGUUCCUGUCCAACGUUAAUCGGGGCAGGGUGAGUCGACCCCUAAGGCGAGGCCGAAAGGCGUAGUCGAUGGGAAACAGGUUAAUAUUCCUGUACUUGGUGUUACUGCGAAGGGGGGACGGAGAAGGCUAUGUUGACCGGGCGACGGUUGUCCCGGUUUAAGCGUGUAGGCUGGUUUUCCAGGCAAAUCCGGAAAAUCAAGGCUGAGGCGU